ACGCUCGACACCUACGGGAGGUAGCAGUGAGGGGAUAUUGGUCAAUGGGGGGAACCCUGACCAGCAACGCCGCGUGAGGGAUGACGGUCUUCGGAUUGUAAACCUCUGUCCUCUGUGAAGAUAAUGACGGUAGCAGAGGAGGAAGCUCCGGCUAACUACGUACCACGCACGCCGCGGUAAUCUGAGCGGGCGUGGCGAAGGC
rnacentral:rRNA from 1 species